rnacentral:rRNA from 1 species
GAUGAACGCUGGCGGCGUGCCUAAUACAUGCAAGUCGAGCGAACAGACGAGGAGCUUGCUCCUCUGACGUUAGCGGCGGACGGGUGAGUAACACGUGGAUAACCUACCUAUAAGACUGGGAUAACUUCGGGAAACCGGAGCUAAUACCGGAUAAUAUCUUGAACCGCAUGGUUCAAUAGUGAAAGACGGUUUUGCUGUCACUUAUAGAUGGAUCCGCGCCGCAUUAGCUAGUUGGUAAGGUAACGGCUUACCAAGGCAACGAUGCGUAGCCGACCUGAGAGGGUGAUAGCCAACACGGGAGCGGAGACACGGUCCAGACUCCUACGGGAGGCAGCAGUAGGGAAUCUGCCGCAAUGGGCGAAAGCCUGACGGAGCAACGGCGCGUGAGUGAUGAAGGUCUUCGGAUCGUAAAACUCUGUUAUUAGGGAAGAACAAAUGUGUAAGUAACUAUGCACGUCUUGACGGUACCUAAUCAGAAAGCCACGGCUAACUACGUG